rnacentral:rRNA from 1 species
GACGAACGCUGGCGGCGUGCUUAACACAUGCCAGUCGAACGGAAAGGCCCUGCUUUUGUGUGGUGCUCGAGUGGCGAACGGGUGAGUAACACGUGAGUAACCUGCCCUUGACUUUGGGAUAACUUCAGGAAACUGGGGCUAAUACCGGAUAGGAGCUCCUGCUGCAUGGUGGGGGUUGGAAAGUUUCGGCGGUUGGGGAUUGACUCGCGGCUUAUCUGAUUGUUUGUUGGGUAGUGGCUUACCAUGGCUUUGACGGGUAGCCGGCCUGAGAGGGUGACCGGCAAAAUUGGGAGGGAGAUAAGGCGCAGACUCGUACGGGAGGCAGCAGUGGGGAAUAUUGCAAAAUGGGCGGAAGCCUGAUGCAGCAACGCCGCGUGCGGGAUGAAGGCCUUCGGGUUGUAAAACGCUUUCGCCUGUGACGAAGCGUGAGUGACGGUAAUGGGUAAAGAAGCAACGGCUAACUACGUG